rnacentral:rRNA from 1 species
AGUAGGUGGGGUAACGGCUCACCUAGGCGACGAUCCCUAGCUGGUCUGAGAGGAUGACCAGCCACACUGGAACUGAGACACGGUCCAGACUCCUACGGGAGGCAGUAGUGGGGAAUAUUGCACAAUGGGCGCAAGCCUGAUGCAGCCAUGCCGCGUGUAUGAAGAAGGCCUUCGGGUUGUAAAGUACUUUCAGCGGGGGGGAAGGGAGUAAAGUUAAUACCUUUGCUCAUUGACGUUACCCGCAGAAGAAGCACCGGCUAACUCCGUGCCAGCAGCCGCGGUAAUACGGAGGGUGCAAGCGUUAAUCGGAAUUACUGGGCGUAAAGCGCACGCAGGCGGUUUGUUAAGUCAGAUGUGUAAUCCCCGGGCUCAACCUGGGAACUGCAUCUGAUACUGGCAAGCUUGAGUCUCGUAGAGGGGGGUAGAAUUCCAGGUGUAGCGGUGAAAUGCGUAGAGAUCUGGAGGAAUACCGGUGGCGAAGGCGGCCCCCUGGACGAAGACUGACGCUCAGGUGCGAAAGCGUGGGGAGCAAACAGGAUUAGAUACCCUGGUAGUCCACGCCGUAAACGAUGUCGACUUGGAGGUUGUGCCCCUGAGGCGUGGCUUCCGGAGCUAACGCGUUAAGUCGACCGCCUGGGGAGUACGGCCGCAAGGUUAAAACUCAAAUGAAUUGACGGGGGCCCGCACAAGCGGUGGAGCAUGUGGUUUAAUUCGAUGCAACGCGAAGAACCUUACCUGGUCUUGACAUCCACGGAAGUUUUCAGAGAUGAGAAUGUGCCUUCGGGAACCGUGAGACAGGUGCUGCAUGGCUGUCGUCAGCUCGUGUUGUGAAAUGUUGGGUUAAGUCCCGCAACGAGCGCAACCCUUAUCCUUUGUUGCCAGCGGUCCGGCCGGGAACUCAAAGGAGACUGCCAGUGAUAAACUGGAGGAAGGUGGGGAUGACGUCAA